rnacentral:rRNA from 1 species
GGUGGAUGCCCAGGCAGUCAGAGGCGAUGAAGGACGUGCUAAUCUGCGUAAAGCGACGGUAAGGUGAUAUGAACCGCUACAGCCGUCGAUGUCCGAAUGGGGAAACCCGGUGCACUCUGUGCAUCAUUGCAGCAUGAAUACAUAGUGCUGCAAGGCGAACCGGGGGAACUGAAACAUCUAAGUACCCCGAGGAAAAGAAAUCAACCGAGAUUCCCCCAGUAGCGGCGAGCGAA